rnacentral:rRNA from 1 species
UACGGAGGGGGCAAGCGUUGUUCGGAAUUACUGGGCGUAAAGCGCGCGUAGGCGGUUACUCAAGUCGGAUGUGAAAGCCCUCGGCUUAACUGAGGAAGUGCACCCGAAACUGAGUAGCUAGAGUACUAAAGAGGGUCGCGGAAUUCCCGGUGUAGAGGUGAAAUUCGUAGAUAUCGGGAGGAACACCGGUGGCGAAGGCGGCGACCUGGGUAGAUACUGACGCUGAGGCGCGAAAGCGUGGGGAGCAAACAGG